rnacentral:rRNA from 1 species
GACGAACGCUGGCGGCGUGCCUAAUACAUGCAAGUCGAACGCUUUUUCUUUCACCGGAGCUUGCUCCACCGAAAGAAAAAGAGUGGCGAACGGGUGAGUAACACGUGGGUAACCAGCCCAUCAGAAGGGGAUAACACUUGGAAACAGGUGCUAAUACCGUAUAACACUAUUUUCCGCAUGGAAGAAAGUUGAAAGGCGCUUUUGCGUCACUGAUGGAUGGACCCGCGGUGCAUUAGCUAGUUGGUGAGGUAACGGCUCACCAAGGCGACGAUGCAUAGCCGACCUGAGAGGGUGAUCGGCCACACUGGGACUGAGACACGGCCCAGACUCCUACGGGAGGUAGCAGUAGGGAAUCUUCGGCAAUGGACGAAAGUCUGACCGAGCAACGCCGCGUGAGUGAAGAAGGUUUUCGGAUCGUAAAACUCUGUUGUUAGAGAAGAACAAGGAUGAGAGUAAAACGUUCAUCCCUUGACGGUAUCUAACCAGAAAGCCACGGCUAACUACGUGCCAGCAGCCGCCGUAA